rnacentral:piRNA from 1 species
CACGUCAACACCGGAUGUGGUCCUU